GGCUUUGAAGUAUAUAUUACGUUGAAUUGCAAAUUCAAAAAAGUAGCUUAAGUGCUGCCGAAGCUU
rnacentral:tRNA from 1 species